ensembl:snoRNA SNORA62 Small nucleolar RNA SNORA62/SNORA6 family
AUAGCGUGCUACAUGAGGGGCAAGACUUUUGCUAACACCAUAAUGGUGCCUGGCCCAAUGAGUAGAGUUUUAUAGUAAUUCUUGCUACAAGU